rnacentral:rRNA from 1 species
ACGGAAGGCAGCAGUGAGGAAUAUUGGUCAAUGGACGGAAGUCUGAACCAGCCAAGUCGCGUGCGGGAUGAAGGCCCUACGGGUCGUAAACCGCUUUUGUACGGGGAUAAAGUCACCCACGUGUGGGUGUUUGUAGGUACCGUAAGAAUAAGGAUCGGCUAACUCCGUGCCAGCAGCCGCGGUAAUACGGAGGAUCCGAGCGUUAUCCGGAUUUAUUGGGUUUAAAGGGAGCGUAGGCCGUGCUUUAAGCGUGUUGUGAAAUGUAGGCGCCCAACGUCUGCACUGCAGCGCGAACUGGAGCACUUGAGUACGCAGGAAGUAGGCGGAAUUCGUCGUGUAGCGGUGAAAUGCUUAGAUAUGACGAAGAACUCCGAUUGGGAAGCCAGCUUACUGUAGCGCCACUGACGCUGAUGCUCGAAAGCGUGGGUAUCGAACAGGAUUAGAUACCCUGGUA